rnacentral:lncRNA from 1 species
AACAAUAAAGUCUUAAAAACUUGGAACGUCAAGCCUCGGGCCUGUAGUAUCGAAGUGGCAGUACUUCACAACUAAGCAAUAGGCUUUUUUAAGUACAUAUCAUGUAGGCAUAAUCUCAGCAUCAAACACGAGACUAUUGUUAGACAGUCAAAUCUAAUAGGCAACAUAUGCCAUCCUACUAUCCUCAGAUAAACCCUUGAUAGUGCUUCGACAGAUCGUAUCCAGGAAGGGAGGAAGCCAAAGGCCAGUGAUUGCCCCAUAUGGCUAGUCACCUACCAUCCUCCAAAUCAAUUAAACUCGCCCUUCGAUAGUGAAGGAGUGCAUGCUCCAUCGACUCCUCCUCUAACCCAC